rnacentral:tRNA from 1 species
UUACUACUUUGGGUAGUACUAGUAGUACUUGUACUACUACUAGUAGUACGAGUAAUACUAGUAGUACUAGUAGAACUAGUUCUACUUGUACUAGUAGU